AGCUGUGCCAGUUUUUCAGGACGGUUUGUCGCCGGUCCUGCUGCUGGCCAGCCUGGUGUGACCUUCCCAGCACACCUUCUGAAAAGCGCCCACUCUUCUACCUCCCUACACUGAUUGUGGGAGAAAUCAUAACUGGGAUAUAUGCUUUUUUUCAUGUAAUUAAUUGGUCCUAUCUCAGCCUUAUUGACCAACUGUACCUUUUUGGCUAACUACACUCAUUGUACAAUUUUGGAUCUAUUGAGAUAGGAAGACAGCAAUCAGAACAGACUUGAAAGGAUUUCUAAGUCAUCUUCAGACUACUGGAAAAGACAAAAAGCAAGGAAAGAAGAUGAGGAAAGAAGGAAACAUCCGUGUCAGUUAAAGAAAGGGAGGAAACAAAGCAGAGUUUGAAGGAAAGCGCUACAAGGUAGGACAGUUCUUCAGACCUUGGCUAUGAGGGAAGGAGUGGUUGAGCUGUUCCAUCACUUCUUCCAGCCCAGAUGCAUCGUGGGAAGGGGUGGACAGGUCGUCAUCACCUAGAGCAGGCAGAAGAAGAUAUAACAGCUUCAAGUAACUCCUGUCCACCCUUAAUCUCAACAUAAUUGUCACGUUGCCCUUUUUCUUUGGGAAAGGACACUUAUGCAUCGCUAUGGUUAGUACGGUUAUGUUGACAACCUGCUUUGCUUACUAGAUUAAACAUUUGUUUUUCAUGCGGAUAAAUUAAUAAAAAAAAACAAUAAAUACAAAUUAAUGUGUUGCUCAAACCACAUUUUCUUGUCCAUAGAAUAACAAAAGCAAACAAACACACAUACAGUACAGAGUUUGUUUCAGUUGUCUUUACUUGUCCUCUUGUCUCUUAACUGUAAUUACUAACAGAUUAUAUAAUUACCAAGAAAUCUGCAAAAAUAAAAACUAUUUGACGUAAUGUAACACAAAAAA